UACGGUGCUGAAGCAACAAAUGCCCUGCUUCCAGGAAAAGCCUCUAAGCAUCAGGUAACAUCAAAUCGUACCCCAAACCGACACAGGUGGUCAGGUAGAGAAUACCAAGGCGCUUGAGAGAACUCGGGUGAAGGAACUAGGCAAAAUGGUGCCGUAACUUCGGGAGAAGGCACGCUGAUAUGUAGGUGAAGUCCCUCGCGGAUGGAGCUGAAAUCAGUCGAAGAUACCAGCUGGCUGCAACUGUUUAUUAAAAACACAGCACUGUGCAAACACGAAAGUGGACGUAUACGGUGUGACGCCUGCCCGGUGCCGGAAGGUUAAUUGAUGGGGUCAGCGCAAGCGAAGCUCUUGAUCGAAGCCCCGGUAAACGGCGGCCGUAACUAUAACGGUCCUAAGGUAGCGAAAUUCCUUGUCGGGUAAGUUCCGACCUGCACGAAUGGCGUAAUGAUGGCCAGGCUGUCUCCACCCGAGACUCAGUGAAAUUGAACUCGCUGUGAAGAUGCAGUGUACCCGCGGCAAGACGGAAAGACCCCGUGAACCUUUACUAUAGCUUGACACUGAACAUUGAGCCUUGAUGUGUAGGAUAGGUGGGAGGCUUUGAAGUGUGGACGCCAGUCUGCAUGGAGCCGACCUUGAAAUACCACCCUUUAAUGUUUGAUGUUCUAACGUGGACCCGUGAUCCGGGUUGCGGACAGUGUCUGGUGGGUAGUUUGACUGGGGCGGUCUCCUCCUAAAGAGUAACGGAGGAGCACGAAGGUUGGCUAAUCCUGGUCGGACAUCAGGAGGUUAGUGCAAUGGCAUAAGCCAGCUUGACUGCGAGCGUGACGGCGCGAGCAGGUGCGAAAGCAGGUCAUAGUGAUCCGGUGGUUCUGAAUGGAAGGGCCAUCGCUCAACGGAUAAAAGGUACUCCGGGGAUAACAGGCUGAUACCGCCCAAGAGUUCAUAUCGACGGCGGUGUUUGGCACCUCGAUGUCGGCUCAUCACAUCCUGGGGCUGAAGUAGGUCCCAAGGGUAUGGCUGUUCGCCAUUUAAAGUGGUACGCGAGCUGGGUUUAGAACGUCGUGAGACAGUUCGGUCCCUAUCUGCCGUGGGCGCUGGAGAACUGAGGGGGGCUGCUCCUAGUACGAGAGGACCGGAGUGGACGCAUCACUGGUGUUCGGGUUGUCAUGCCAAUGGCACUGCCCGGUAGCUAAAUGCGGAAGAGAUAAGUGCUGAAAGCAUCUAAGCACGAAACUUGCCCCGAGAUGAGUUCUCCCUGACCCUUUAAGGGUCCUGAAGGAACGUUGAAGACGACGACGUUGAUAGGCCGGGUGUGUAAGCGCAGCGAUGCGUUGAGCUAACCGGUACUAAUGAACCGUGAGGCUUAACCUUACAACGCCGAAGGUGUUU
rnacentral:rRNA from 1 species